rnacentral:misc_RNA from 1 species
GAUGAAGAACGGAGCGAAAUGCGAUAAGUAAUGUGAAUUGCAGAAUCCAGUGAAUCAUCGAAUCUUUGAACGCACAUUGCGCCCGCCAGCAUUCUGGCGGGCAUGCCUGUUCGAGCGUCAUUUCAACCCUCGACCUCCCCUUGGGGAGGUCGGCGUUGGGGACCGGCAGCACACCGCCGGCCCUGAAAUGGAGUGGCGGCCCGUCUGCGGCGACCUCUGCGUAGUAAUACAGCUCGCACCGGAACCCCGACGCGGCCACGCCGUAAAACACCCAACUUCUGAACGUUGACCUCGAAUCAGGUAGGACUACCCGCUGAACUUAAGCAUAUCAAUAAGCGGAGGA